GUUUAAUUUUUUGAUUUUUAUUAAUUUUUUUGUUUAUUUUAUUAAUUAAAUAAUUAUUUUUUAAAAAAAAACCAGUUUUUAACCUGUUCAGCCGGUCAUUUUUCUUCUUUGGAGGUUUUUUAUGAUAAAAAUGUCACUUUCAAAAUUAAAAGUGUUAGUAAAAAAAUUUUAAGGUUUAAAGUGCUAGUAAGUGACACUUUCAAGGUUUUUUACGUGAUUUUCCAUAAAUGAAUGUAAUAAAAUGAUUUUUUUUAUUUGGCUCCUCUACAUUCUUCAACAUCUCUAUGAUAAUUUUCACAUUCAUUCGAAGGUUUCAUUUGUUAUUUUUUCUCUCAGUUUUAGUUAUUCCUUUUUCUGUCAGAGCAGGUUCUGUUAUUCUUAUUUUUAUACUUUUUUCUUACACCAACUUGUUUAGUAAUUAAUUAAUUAUCUUGUAUCAAAAAACAAAGAAAAUGAUAUUAUUUUGGUAACUAAAUUAUAUUAUUCUUAUAAAACAGUAUAUCAUUACUAUUUAUUAAUCAUAUGCAGAAUGAAUCUAUUUUAUUUGUAUGUUAUAAAAGUGCAACCUUGCUUAAUUUAUAAAAUUUGCAUUCUUCUUGAAGAUGUACAUUAUGUAUGUGUUAAACUGAUUUAUAUAUAUUACAAUUUAUCAUCUCUAUAUAUUAUUUCCUUUUCGUUACUGCUACUUAAAUUUUCGGAAUAAAAUAAAUAAACUGUAAAAUCUUGUCAUUACAAAAACUCAUGAAAUAGCAAAAUUCUCAGUUUUUGUAUACACUUUACAUAUACUAGAUCAUUUUUCCGCGCUACGCGCGGUUAAGUGCCUUAAAAUUUUUACAAAUGUAUGUUGUAUAAAUAUCAGAUGUUGUAGAAUUAUUUUGAAUUUUAAACUCAUUUUGAAUUAUAAUGGUAGCAUGUAAGAUAGUUAUUUUGGAAUUAUUUUGUUUGUAUACAGGUUUGAAUAAAAAAUCAAAAUUGUUAUAAAUAAAUGUAUAUGAAAUUUCUUCUUUCCAAUAACACACUUAUAAAUAUCAUGCUAAGUUUACGUCAUCAAUUUGAAAUCAAUUGUGGAAUGCCGGUUUUAAGACUGAGACCAUUUUGAUUAUGUUUGGUAUUGCAAUAUUGAAUUAAGUGAACAAAAAAUUAAUAAUAUAUAACAUAACAUGAAUUAUAAUUAUGAAAAUAUUUUUUGUUAUAUUGCUAUUAUUUUAAUUGAUCAUUUUGCUAUGUUUCUUUAUUUUAUUUAGAAUGUCUUAACCUUUUUAUUUUAGAGGUUGUUCAUUAAUGUAAAUUAAUUUUUAAUGCAAUAGAUGUAUUUUAUUAUUUGAAAAUUAUCUUUUUAGUACAGUAUGACAUAUAAAUAUUAGUGUGCAGUUAAUUAUUCUUCUAAGUUUAAUCAUAACUUCUUGUUAUUCUGUUGAUAUUUAACAUAUUAUUGUUUGGCUAUAUGACCAUCAAACACAUGAAUUUUAAGAACUUAACCUGAUUUUGCAUUUGUGCCUUUACCAUCGUUCUUGAAAACCUAGAACUUGUGAAUUGUGGUAGAAUUUAUUGUGUUUUAAACAUAUGCUAUCAUCAUUUUACAGUAGAACCUCUAUAAAUUAAUACUCGAUAAAUUAAUAAUCUCUAUAAAUUAAUAAAUUUCGUCAGUCCCAACUUGAGCCAAUGUAAAAUAUGACACUAAUCGAUAAAAUAAAAAGAUAAUAAUAUUUUUAAAACUCUAACGUAAAUAUAUAGUCCCAUUAAAAUCAUGAAUUGCUAAUCUAUCUCUAUAUAUUUUAUAUAAGUACAAAAUAAACAUUAUAUUGUUGGUUAUAUAUUCACAAUGAAAAUACUUCUAGUUUUCUGAAUAUAUGGCUAAUAUCGAAUAUAACACACUAAUAUUGUAAAUAAUUAUAAAUAGAGUUUGGUACGUACGUUUAUCGUGAUCAGAAACCAACAAAAAAGUUAUUAACUAAGUGGUCGUGACUCACGCACGAUGAUAAUACAUUGAUUCAUACCUAAUAAGUUUUUCUCGUUAACCAUAUUUCAAGUGCUUUUAUAGAAAAGGUGAAUGUAUUGUUUAAAGCCGUGAAAGUACUACGUAUCCUUUCGGACCAAAGGAUCAGGAUGAGUUUAACUAUAGUGAUUCGAUCCGACAACGAUGAAUAACACUCUUAACCGGUUUGAAGCCAAUAAGUUUAAAAUGGUGCAUGCAUAUAUAUAUAUAUAUAUUGGUGAGUUUGUGUGUGUGUAUGUAAAUCAUGGAUAUAUAUGCCAAACUCAAAGCUUCCAAAAUGUUGUGGCAUGAAAAGAAGAGAAAACCCCAUGGAAACCAAGGUUCUAUGCACAUGGCUUUACAUCUUUACUUUUAAACAAUCUCUAAUCCACUUCUAUUUUUAUUUCUAUAUUUUCCUCUUAAAAAAAAUUAUUAUAGAAAUAGAUUUACUCCAAUGUAUGCAUCUAUAAUAGAGUUCUUCUAUUUAUAAAGUAAAAUAUAGAGAUAUACUAUUUUUACCUCUAAAUAUAGAGAUAAAAAGUAAAUUUCCUAUAUAUUUUUUUCUAAAAUAAAAAAAAUUAUAUUGUAGAGACAUACAUUGGCGCAAUUCCACUUCUAUAUCAUAAGUUUCUAUUUCAGAAAAAAAAAUAUAGAAACAUACAUUGGAGAUGUUCUUAAGUUUCUUUUCUCCACAAUCCCUUAUAGAGGAUUUUUUGUGUGAUCCUAUAUCUUUUUUUUUCUAUAUAAAUAACUAAAGAACUUUUGACAAUCUAAAAGAACUUAAUUCAUACCUCAUCCGUUUCAAUUUAGUUAUCGUUAUAGAACAAUUUUUUUAAAAAAAAAUUUAAUGCAAAAUUAUUAACAAUAUUAUCCGAUUUAUUUUUGUAUUGGAUAAAAUAUGAUUAGGUCUAGAUAAUAAUUUUGUUUAUUUUAAAAAUAUACAAAAUUAAAUAUUUUUUAAUUUGUGUUCAUAAAUCUAAAUGACAAUUAAAAUAAUACUCGUGGAAUAUCCACUAAUAUGAGUGCCUUUUUCUUGUGUACUUUGAAAAAUGCACUUUACAAUUGUGAAUUCAAGUACCAAUGAAGAGAAAAAGAUCUUAUCAUUGUAGCUCAGUUAGUCACCAUCACCUGGCUAGCAUAUGUUAGCUUCGUGUUAUUCCUACUUUAUUAAAGUUAAUAGAGCCUUCCUUAAUCACAUAUACCUAUCACAUAUUUUAUUUUGAUGGAUUAUAUUGCCUAAUUUACUUUCAUAUGAACAAAUCUUAUAAAAGUUUGGAGAUGGCGAUAUCUAUAUAGGUUGAUACUAGGAGUAUAAGUUUUUCUUUAAACCAAAAACUUAUUUGACCAAAAAAAAACAAAAAAAAAAACAAAAACUUAAUUACUUAUCUUUAUUUGGAUAGUAAACAACAAAUUAGGAGAUCGCAAUGAAUUUUAUUCAUUUAUUGUGAUGAAAAUACUUUUAAUAGAUUUCGGUGAAAAUAUAGGAUAAUUAGCUACAUUAGUAUCACUCUUUUAUAAUUUACCCACGUAAAACUCUUUAGCAAAUUCGUUUUCUAGUUAGCAUAAACUUAUGUGUAAGCUCAGUUUUACGAAAUUUAUAUGAGUUCAACUCAGUUUACCGAAAUCGUUUGUUAUAAACUUUACUGGAUUUAACUAAAAAGUCUCUAGUCAAUGUCAUCAUGAAUAACAAUUUCCGUACCUAUUAAAAUAAAAUUCACAUAUUUUAAUGAAAAAAAUGAAAAAUGUGGAGAUGGCGGGACCAAGCAAUAAUAAUAGUGGAGAAGCUUAAUUAAUGGAAGAGAAUGGGUUUGAUGUGAUUUUAUUCAUUUGGUUCCACAUACAUCACAGCUUGGAUCAUCAUCUUCUCCACGUGGCUUUCCAUUCCACGUCAUCAUUUGCUUCCCACGUGGCUUCCUCUUGUGGGUCCCACUAAUUAGUUCUAUCCAAGAAAGACGCGUCACCAUCGUUGCUCCCUAAUUCCAUCGCUUCCAUUUCUAUUCUAAACCUCACCAUAAAUUACUUAAUUAUCACUCUCUUUGAAAAAUUGAUGUUUCAUAUUUUUAUUUGGAUGAAAAAAAAAAUAUUAAUUUGCAUUAAGUUUUUUAAAAAUUUAUAAUUAUUUACUUUGUUUUGUUUAAAAAUUAAAAUAUAAUAAAAAUGUAAAAAUAUGAAUAAUAAAACAUAUAUUAGAAAACCAAAAUAAAUAGAUAUAAAUUUUCAAUAUAUAUUAAAACAUUAGUAUUU